CCAACGCAUCCAUCCCCAGAGGAACAAGCGAGGAUCUCAGAGCGCGACCUGGACAGGCUCUCACAAAAGUCACCGCGUUUGUGUAGGUAACUAAGGCCUACCGAAACCAGUCAGCCCUAAGUGCACACAGGAGAACCAUGGAGUUGGAGGAAAAGAGUAUACAGGAAGCAUGGUGCCAGCAUGUGCCACUGUUGAGGGCCUCAGGAAACUUACAAUCAUGGUGGAAGGUGAAGGGGAAGCAGGUGUGUCACACUGUGAGUGUGACAGCAAGAAAGAGAGGAAGGAGGUGCCACUCACUUUUAAACAACCAGAUCUCGCAUGAACUCAGGACUUAGGUAUGUCUUUAUCAGCAGACAUUAGUCCAUAUAAAAACAGACUAAUACAGUAAAUU
rnacentral:lncRNA from 10 species